UACAGAGGGUGCGAGCGUUGUCCGGAAUCACUGGGCGUAAAGAGCUUGUAGGCGGUUUGUCGCGUCUGCUGUGAAAAUCCGGGGCUCAACCCCGGACUUGCAGUGGGUACGGGCAGACUAGAGUGCGGUAGGGGAGACUGGAAUUCCUGGUGUAGCGGUGAAAUGCGCAGAUAUCAGGAGGAACACCGGUGGCGAAAGCGCGUAACUGGGUCAUAACUGACGCUGAGGAACGAAAGCCAGGGUAGCAAAAAGG
rnacentral:rRNA from 1 species